GACGGAAGGUGCAAGCGUUGCUCGGAAUCACUGGGCGUAAAGCGCACGUAGGCGGCCUGAUAAGUCGGGUGUGAAAGCCCUGGGCUCAACCCAGGAAGUGCACUCGAAACUGUCAGGCUUGAAUAUGGAAGAGGGUCGCGGAAUUCCCGGUGUAGAGGUGAAAUUCGUAGAUAUCGGGAGGAACACCAGUGGCGAAGGCGGCGACCUGGGCCAAUAUUGACGCUGAGGUGCGAAAGCGUGGGGAGCAAACAGG
rnacentral:rRNA from 1 species